UAAGGACUGUACUGGAAGCCUCCUGGCAUGUGUCCUCCUGCGUUUCGUCCCUCCCAUAUAUGCUGGUUUGAGUGGUGGUUUGAGUCCCUGGUGAGGACCAGGACCUGCCAACAUGGGGCUUCUUCCUCACGUGCUUCCUGGGCAGGUUGGGGUGCAGUGGGCACUUAUCACACCGUCACUUCUGUUUGUUGGCCUGCUAACACUGGCCUGUAAGCUGUCAGCGGGCUUAUCAUCCAUCCCUGGACAGUGCCCUGUCGUUGCUGUUGCACUCCCACAUGAAGGACAACUCCUUAUCCUCAGCUUGUCCUUCCUGAAAAGGCUGUAUCCAUCCAUGGCAGCACUUCAGGCUUGUGAGCAAUUCCGCAGCAUCUCCAUCAUCCUGAUGAGACUAUAGCCCUGCAACUGUACCUGGACCUCUUAGUUCCUCCUGCUUGUUCCCCCUGUUGAGAGGCACUUGGCUGUGCUGAUUUCUCAGAACAGGGGUGUAGUGGGUUCCUGUACCUGGAUAUCCUUAUUUUCCCAUUUCCUGCACUAACAUGGGCUGUGCUCUGGAAGCCAAAGAAGGGGUGAACUUUAAAAUAACAAUUCCCAGGCCGGGGAUGAGCUUGCAGCAAGAACCACAGGCUUGAUGGUGAUUCAUGAGCAGCUUAGGCUACCAGAAGUGGGAUUGUUAUGGGAAGAGUUAUGGAGCUGCUGCACUGGAAUGAUUGUACAGGGCAUUGAAUCCAGUGAUACAAACCUGAAAGAAGUUUCUUGUCACCACUUAUCUUUCAAUUCUUUCUCAUUGUCCUCUAUGCCAACCUGUUGCUCUUCACAGCCCUCUCCUGGACCUUUGUCUGCCUGACCAAGAUUCCAGGUGGACUUGCAUCAUCCUAUACUGUAAGCUAGGUCUAUUCACCUGGUCUCGGAGCACAUUCGUAGUUGGGUUAGAGACUUGCCUGUGGAUGGCCAGUGACUUUGUAGUAGCAAUUUCAUCGCAGGAGAGAUGAGUAGAGGGGCCUUAAGGGAACUUCUUCGU